rnacentral:rRNA from 1 species
UAGCGUUGUACGGAAUUACUGGGCGUAAAGCGAACGUAGGCGGAUCAGUUAGUCGGGGGUGAAAUCCCGGGGCUCAACCCCGGAACUGCCUUCGAUACUGCUGGUCUGGAGGUCGAGAGAGGUGAGUGGAAUUCCGAGUGUAGAGGUGAAAUUCGUAGAUAUUCGGAGGAACACCAGUGGCGAAGGCGGCUCACUGGCUCGAUACUGACGCUGAGGUGCGAAAGCGUGGGGAGCAAACAGG